rnacentral:rRNA from 1 species
CCCUUAGAUGUUCUGGGCCGCACGCGCGCUACACUGAUGCAUUCAACGAGCCUAUCCUUGACCGACAGGUCCGGGUAAUCUUUGAAUCUGCAUCGUGACGGGGAUAGAUUAUUGCAAUUAUUAAUCUUCAACGAGGAAUGCCUAGUAGGCGCAAGUCAUCAGCUUGCGUCGAUUACGUCCCUGCCCUUUGUACACACCGCCCGUCGCUCCUACCGAUUGGGUGUGCUGGUGAAAUGUUCGGAUCGGCCGUUUGUCGCGGUUUCCGCGGCUCAUGGCUGAGAAGUUCAUUAAACCCUCCCACCUAGAGGAAGGAGAAGUCGUAACA